rfam:Trichomonas vaginalis G3, whole genome shotgun sequence.
GGUGGGUUGGUGUGACUCCAGCCUGUAAAGCGUAUGCUACCCUUAAAAAAUAGGCAGUCGCGUAGAUCAAGGUAAACUGCGGUUGUCAUGUGUUGAGUGCCCUCCUACCAGGUACUGCUGCGGGGUCGUGGGUCCGACGAAGGUUGGAAUUUCGAUCUUGAUAAUGCAAUCUGCACUGCGUGAGGCCGGUAAACGGAACAGCGAAAAGGAUUCCAGCGGUAUGGUGCGUAGAUUCUGGGCGCGAGCAUGCGCUUCAGCCUCUGACUUGGUUCAAACGGUCCACUAUUUUUUUC